AUUGAACGCUGGCGGCAUGCCUUACACAUGCAAGUCGAACGGCAGCGGGCCUUCGGGUGCCGGCGAGUGGCGAACGGGUGAGUAAUGCAUCGGAACGUGCCAUUGAGUGGGGGAUAACGUAGCGAAAGUUACGCUAAUACCGCAUAUUCUGUGAGCAGGAAAGCAGGGGACCGCAAGGCCUUGCGCUCUUUGAGCGGCCGAUGUCAGAUUAGCUAGUUGGUGAGGUAAAGGCUUACCAAGGCGACGAUCUGUAGCGGGUCGGAGAGGAUGAUCCGCCACACUGGAACUGAGACACGGUCCAGACUCCUACGGGAGGCAGCAGUGGGGAAUUUUGGACAAUGGGCGCAAGCCUGAUCCAGCCAUGCCGCGUGAGUGAAGAAGGCCUUC
rnacentral:rRNA from 1 species